GUGGCCUUAGUUCAGUUGGUAGAACCUCGGAUUGUGAUUCCGAAGGUCAUGGGUUCAAGUCCCAUAGGUCACCCCA
rnacentral:tRNA from 2 species